rnacentral:piRNA from 1 species
AGAGAAAACAACACUGAAAACCUG